rnacentral:rRNA from 1 species
CCCUUAGAUGUUCUGGGCCGCACGCGCGCUACACUGUUUGAUUCAGCGAGUCUUAACCUUGACCGAAAGGUUUGGGUAAUCUUCUAAAGUCAAACGUGAUGGGGAUCGAUCAUUGCAAUUAUUGAUCGUGAACGAGGAAUUCCUAGUAAAUGCAAGUCAUCAGCUUGCGUUGAUUACGUCCCUGCCCUUUGUACACACCGCCCGUCGCUACUACCGAUUGAACGGUUUAGUGAGGGCCUCGGAUUGGUCUCGGCCCGCUCUUUACCGGGCGGCGCCGUUGGUCGAGAAGACGCUCGAACUUGAUCGUUUAGAGGAAGUAAAAGUCGUAACA